AUUGAACGCUGGCGGCAGGCCUAACACAUGCAAGUCGAGCGGUAGAGAGAAGCUUGCUUCUCUUGAGAGCGGCGGACGGGUGAGUAAUGCCUAGGAAUCUGCCUGGUAGUGGGGGAUAACGUUCGGAAACGGACGCUAAUACCGCAUACGUCCUACGGGAGAAAGCAGGGGACCUUCGGGCCUUGCGCUAUCAGAUGAGCCUAGGUCGGAUUAGCUAGUUGGUGGGGUAAUGGCUCACCAAGGCGACGAUCCGUAACUGGUCUGAGAGGAUGAUCAGUCACACUGGAACUGAGACACGGUCCAGACUCCUACGGGAGGCAGCAGUGGGGAAUAUUGGACAAUGGGCGAAAGCCUGAUCCAGCCAUGCCGCGUGUGUGAAGAAGGUCUUCGGAUUGUAAAGCACUUUAAGUUGGGAGGAAGGGCAGUAAAUUAAUACUUUGCUGUUUGGACGUUACCGACAGAAUAAGCACCGGCUAACUCUGU
rnacentral:rRNA from 1 species